AACAAACGUUGGCGGCGUGCCUAAUACAUGCAAGUCGAACGGGGAAAGCUUUCGGGUGAGUACUAGUGGCGCACGGGUGAGUAACGCGUGGAUAAUCUGCCUUAGAGUGGGGGAUAACUAGUCGAAAGAUUAGCUAAUACCGCAUAAGACCACAGGAGCUGCGGCUCAAGGGGUCAAAGGGUUUUCGCUUUAAGAUGAGUCCGCGUAAGAUUAGCUAGUUGGUGAGGUAACGGAUCACCAAGGCGACGAUCUUUAACUGGUCUGAGAGGAUGAUCAGUCACACUGGAACUGAGACACGGUCCAGACUCCUACGGGAGGCAGCAGUAGGGAAUAUUGCACAAUGGAGGAAACUCUGAUGCAGCGACGCCGCGUGAGUGAUGAAGGCCUUCGGGUCGUAAAGCUCUGUCGCAGGGGAAUAACACAAUGAAGGUACCCUGUAAGAAAGGAUCGGCUAACUUCGUGCCAGCAGCCGCCGUAAGAC
rnacentral:rRNA from 1 species